GCGCCGCUCCGGCGCGCCGACCGACGUGGCGGGGAGGUGGCGCUUCCGAAGAGGCGGAGCCUUGGACGGGGACGGGGCCUCCGGGCCGGGCGCUGGGUCCCUCCGCGAACCCGGCAUCGGUAGAGUCACGAACGUGGGGUGCUAAACGUGCGGAAACGCGGGGUUAUCUCUGGAACUGGAAGCAAGAGAAAGCAGUACCCCAUCAUGAGAGCCAUGCCAUGUUACUACAGUUAAAGAAGACAUCAAACAGAGAACAAAAAACGAAACCUGUUCAUCAGAGCUUUUUCACCUAGUCAAAAUUAUUUAACAUUUCAGUCUCAAAAAGGAAAAUAGUCUCAGUUCAGGCAAUCAAGUAAAACAUCUAUUGCAAUUCCAAUGAGAUCAAUAUUAUUUAAGCAUAUACCGCAGCUUUUAUUAUGUGAAGGCUCAAAAUACUCCCAAAUGUUGGCUCUGAUUUUGCAAACACUUUUGUGUAGGAUUGACUUGACUCAUGUCAACAGUUAGAGGGAGCACUCAAACACACCACCAGUGCCAUGAACACACACUUUGCAGGCUCAGGAAUCCCAAAAUAACUUCUAUAUUUCUCAUCUAGAUUUUUAAAUUUGGUACAACUACAAACCUCCUAAAACCUAUCAUCUUAACAUUUCAAAAUGGAGCCAUUUCUACUCACCCAGGCCCACCCUAAAGUUUGCAAAAAGCUUUUUUUAAUAAUUCAAACCAUCUUUUUCCGUGCACCUAUAAAUAAUAAAAAAAACCUGAUCUUGAUUUUUACCAAACCCCCUACAUGCAGAGAAAGUCAAUAUUGAAAAGAUUUCAUUCCAAAGGUCAUUACUGUUUUUAAGAAGUUGUGAGUGCUGGCAAAUAGUGGUCUCAGAAAUGGAACUGCCUUUUGUUCUCAGACAUGACUUAGGGCAUUAUGGCAGUAGUUCUAUAAUUAAAUACAGAUAAAUAUGAGGGGUCACUAACAGGCACAUCUAAUAACCACCAUCCUCAAGCAGCAUUUCCUGGGCUACCUCCUUGCAGUAUCCAACUAUAAAUAAACACUAACCCCAGUGAAGAGCUAAUGUUUAGAAUUAUGGCCCUGAGAUAAAAAAA